rnacentral:rRNA from 1 species
AUUGAACGCUGGCGGCAGGCUUAACACAUGCAAGUCGAGCGGAGUGAUGGUGCUUGCACUAUCACUUAGCGGCGGACGGGUGAGUAAUGCUUAGGAAUCUGCCUAUUAGUGGGGGACAACAUCUCGAAAGGGAUGCUAAUACCGCAUACGUCCUACGGGAGAAAGCAGGGGAUCACUUGUGACCUUGCGCUAAUAGAUGAGCCUAAGUCGGAUUAGCUAGUUGGUGGGGUAAAGGCCUACCAAGGCGACGAUCUGUAGCGGGUCUGAGAGGAUGAUCCGCCAAAGUGGGGCUGGGACACGACCCAGACUCCUACGGGAGGUAGCAGUGGGGAAUAUUGGACAAUGGGGGGAACCCUGAUCCAGCCAUGCCGCGUGUGUGAAGAAGGCCUUAUGGUUGUAAAGCACUUUAAGCGAGGAGGAGGCUCUUUUGGUUAAUACCCAAGAUGAGCGGACGUUACUCGCAGAAUAAGCACCGGCUAACUCUGUGCCAGCAGCCGCGGUAAAAC